GGUCUAUCCUUGCUUAGAUUGAUAUUUAUUUUAUUGUCACUGGGCAAGGUAGACCCUA
rnacentral:pre_miRNA from 1 species